rnacentral:tRNA from 1 species
GGGAAUAUGGCUUAAUGGUAGAGUGCAUUCCUUUCAUGCAUGAAGCCCCAGGUUCACUUCCUUAGUACCA